CAAUUUUCUCUUCAACCAUCUGCUAUAAACAAUUGAGAGAGACCCUAAAUUCAUGAAAUCCCACCGCCUCCGCCCCUACACCGUGAAUCGGUGAUUUUCAGCCACCACACUUCGAGAAUCGGCGAUUUUCGGCCAACGCUAUGCCGUGAAUCGGCGAUAUGUGCUAAUUUCAGGAAUUCCAAACGCCUCUACGACGUGCAUUCAAAAAUUCAUCAAACCUGCAGCCACUAAACAGCAAAAUCAGUCCACAACUACAUGGUUUUAGGUUUUUUCGUUGGUGUUGAUCGGAAUAGCGGGAGAACAAUUAUAAUGGUAAGGAAAAGAAUGAUAAGGAUAGAGUCGGAUGAGGAAGAGGCUUAACAGAGCAUUAGUAGAAGGAACAUGGACGAGGAGGAGGAGGUUGAAGCGAGCCAUAGUCGAAGGAUAUGGAUGAGGAAGAGGUUGAACAAAGCGGGAACAGAAUGAAUGUACAGAGUCUGUACAACACAGUAUGAGAGAGAGUGAAGCAAGAUGUUUAGUGUUGGAGAACAAGAAAGGACCGAUAGAUGUUGAGAAGAUGGUCGUUGACUACCAUAAAUCAUGACCAAUGAAUGAAAUCUUGGUGUUUUUGAACAUGAAUUCUGAUUUGGUUGAUGUUUUUUCUUAGUAACUUCUCGUACUGAAACAUGGAGGUUAUAUUUUGGUCUAGACAAUGUUGGUGACAUAAUUUAAAUUGGCAUUUUUUUGUA